AACGGCUGCUAAUACCGCAUAACAUUAUUUGGUAGGCAUCUUCGAAUAAAUCAAAGAUUUAUCGCCGAAAGAUGGGCUCGCGUCUGAUUAGAUAGUUGUGGGGCAACGGCCCACCAAGUCAACGAUCAGUAGCCGGACUGAGAGGUUGAACGGCCACAUUGGGACUGAGAUACGGCCCAGACUCCUACGGGAGGCAGCAGUGGGGAAUAUUGGGCAAUGGGGCAACCCUGACCCAGCAACGCCGCGUGAAGGAAGAAGGCUUUCGGGUUGUAAACUUCUUUGACGAGGGACGAAGAAUGACGGUACCUCGAAACAAGCCACGGCUAACUACGUGCC
rnacentral:rRNA from 1 species